UACGUAGGCAGCGAGCGUUGUUCGGAGUUACUGGGCGUAAAGGGUGUGUAGGCGGUUGUUUAAGUUUGGUGUGAAAUCUCCCGGCUCAACUGGGAGGGUGCGCCGAAUACUGAAUGACUUGGAGUGCGGGAGAGGAAAGUGGAAUUCCUGGUGUAGCGGUGAAAUGCGUAGAUAUCAGGAGGAACAUCAGUGGCGAAGGCGACUUCCUGGACCAAUACUGACGCUCAGGUGCGAAAGCGUGGGGAGCAAACAGG
rnacentral:rRNA from 1 species